UUUAUAAUCCCUCCGUCCCAAAGUUCUUGUCUUAGGUUUGUCUAAAAAUGGAUGUAUGUAAAUACAAAAUCUUGACUAGAUACAUUCACAUCUAGACAAAUCUAAGACAAGAAUUUUGGGACGGAGGGAGUACCUA
rfam:Hordeum vulgare subsp. vulgare, WGS project CAJW01000000 data, contig: morex_contig_1961130